rnacentral:rRNA from 1 species
AGAGUUUGAUCCUGGCUCAGGACGAACGCUGGCGGCGUGCCUAAUACAUGCAAGUAGAACGCUGAAGAGAGGAGCUUGCUCUUCUUGGAUGAGUUGCGAACGGGUGAGUAACGCGUAGGUAACCUGCCUUGUAGCGGGGGAUAACUAUUGGAAACGAUAGCUAAUACCGCAUAACAAUGGAUGACACAUGUCAUUUAUUUGAAAGGGGCAAUUGCUCCACUACAAGAUGGACCUGCGUUGUAUUAGCUAGUAGGUGAGGUAAUGGCUCACCUAGGCGACGAUACAUAGCCGACCUGAGAGGGUGAUCGGCCACACUGGGACUGAGACACGGCCCAGACUCCUACGGGAGGCAGCAGUAGGGAAUCUUCGGCAAUGGGGGCAACCCUGACCGAGCAACGCCGCGUGAGUGAAGAAGGUUUUCGGAUCGUAAAGCUCUGUUGUAAGUCAAGAACGGGUGUGAGAGUGGAAAGUUCACACUGUGACGGUAGCUUACCAGAAAGGGACGGCUAACUACGUGCCAGCAGCCGCGGUAAUACGUAGGUCCCGAGCGUUGUCCGGAUUUAUUGGGCGUAAAGCGAGCGCAGGCGGUUUGAUAAGUCUGAAGUUAAAGGCUGUGGCUCAACCAUAGUUCGCUUUGGAAACUGUCAAACUUGAGUGCAGAAGGGGAGAGUGGAAUUCCAUGUGUAGCGGUGAAAUGCGUAGAUAUAUGGAGGAACACCGGUGGCGAAAGCGGCUCUCUGGUCUGUAACUGACGCUGAGGCUCGAAAGCGUNNNNNNNNNGCCGCGGUAAUACGUAGGUCCCGAGCGUUGUCCGGAUUUAUUGGGCGUAAAGCGAGCGCAGGCGGUUUGAUAAGUCUGAAGUUAAAGGCUGUGGCUCAACCAUAGUUCGCUUUGGAAACUGUCAAACUUGAGUGCAGAAGGGGAGAGUGGAAUUCCAUGUGUAGCGGUGAAAUGCGUAGAUAUAUGGAGGAACACCGGUGGCGAAAGCGGCUCUCUGGUCUGUAACUGACGCUGAGGCUCGAAAGCGUGGGGAGCGAACAGGAUUAGAUACCCUGGUAGUCCACGCCGUAAACGAUGAGUGCUAGGUGUUGGAUCCUUUCCGGGAUUCAGUGCCGCAGCUAACGCAUUAAGCACUCCGCCUGGGGAGUACGACCGCAAGGUUGAAACUCAAAGGAAUUGACGGGGGCCCGCACAAGCGGUGGAGCAUGUGGUUUAAUUCGAAGCAACGCGAAGAACCUUACCAGGUCUUGACAUCCCGAUGCUAUUUCUAGAGAUAGAAAGUUACUUCGGUACAUCGGUGACAGGUGGUGCAUGGUUGUCGUCAGCUCGUGUCGUGAGAUGUUGGGUUAAGUCCCGCAACGAGCGCAACCCCUAUUGUUAGUUGCCAUCAUUCAGUUGGGCACUCUAGCGAGACUGCCGGUAAUAAACCGGAGGAAGGUGGGGAUGACGUCAAAUCAUCAUGCCCCUUAUGACCUGGGCUACACACGUGCUACAAUGGUUGGUACAACGAGUUGCGAGUCGGUGACGGCGAGCUAAUCUCUUAAAGCCAAUCUCAGUUCGGAUUGUAGGCUGCAACUCGCCUACAUGAAGUCGGAAUCGCUAGUAAUCGCGGAUCAGCACGCCGCGGUGAAUACGUUCCCGGGCCUUGUACACACCGCCCGUCACACCACGAGAGUUUGUAACACCCGAAGUCGGUGAGGUAACCUUUUGGAGCCAGCCGCCUAAGGUGGGACAGAUGAUUGGGGUGAAGUCGUAACAAGGUAGCCGUAUCGGAAGGUGCGGCUG